rnacentral:rRNA from 1 species
AACGAACGCUGGCGGCAGGCCUAACACAUGCAAGUCGAGCGCCCCGCAAGGGGAGCGGCGGACGGGUGAGUAACGCGUGGGAACGUACCCUUUGCUACGGAAUAGCCUCGGGAAACUGGGAGUAAUACCGUAUGUGCCCUUCGGGGAAAGAUUUAUCGGCAAAGGAUCGGCCCGCGUUGGAUUAGGUAGUUGGUGGGGUAAUGGCCUACCAAGCCGACGAUCCAUAGCUGGUUUGAGAGGAUGAUCAGCCACACUGGGACUGAGACACGGCCCAGACUCCUACGGGAGGCAGCAGUGGGGAAUCUUAGACAAUGGGCGCAAGCCUGAUCUAGCCAUGCCGCGUGAGCGAUGAAGGCCUUAGGGUUGUAAAGCUCUUUCGGCCGGGAAGAAAUCGCACAGGUUAAUACCCUGUGUGGAUGACGGUACCGGAAUAAGAAGCACCGGCUAACUACGUGCCAGCAGCCGCGGUAAAG